rnacentral:rRNA from 1 species
GAGACCCACGCCCACAUUUGCCAGCGUUCCCUCCGGGGAGAUGGGUACUCUGUGGGGACCGCCGCUGCUAAAGCGGAGGAAGGAAUGGGCAACGGUAGGUCAGCAUGCCCCGAAUUAUCCGGGCUACACGCGGGCUACAAUGGUCAGGACAAUGGGUAUCGACACCGAGAGGUGAAGGCAAUCUCUUAAACCUGUCCUUAGUUCGGAUUGUGGGCUGCAACUCGCCCACAUGAAGCUGGAAUCCGUAGUAAUCGCGUCUCAAAAUGGCGCGGUGAAUAU